rnacentral:lncRNA from 1 species
GUUUACAAAAUGGAAAUGUGCUGUGAACUUAACAAUCUACGUGAAAUGGUGGUUCAAUCUAUAAGUCAAGAAUCUACCAAAGUGUUGUCUGAAAUAGCAA